rfam:Helianthus annuus linkage group 1, whole genome shotgun sequence.
AUAAAAGCAGGGAUCGAUUGCCUUUGUGAAUCGGUCUCCCGUAAACGUCAGGGAAAUAGAGUGGGCAUCGUUAUUGGGUGAACCUCUUGAUUUUUUUUCAUGACGGACAAGGUUCAGUAAACGAAGCUAUAUUU